AAUAGGGUGGCAUGGAGCAGCAUCGGGGUGCGACACCAUGGAGAUGGUUUGCAACCAAAGUACAACUCAUGUAAUCCUUCUGAGGCCGUCAAUUAUCUGUUGGCCGACUCUGCCUGGUUCGGUCAUCCAUUGGGUGACAUCUUUCAUCCCUUGAGCGUCCGAGCACUGGUGAACAUAGCUUCAGCAGCAGCAGCAGCAGCAGGUGUUCUGGCAACAACAGUUAUCGAUUACAAGCUAGAAGCAGCAGCAGCAGUUCUGGCAGAAGUAGAAAGCAGCAAUUCUGGCAGCAGCUGCAGUUGAAACAAGAACAAAACCAAGCCAGCCUAAAGAGUGUUUAUUUUCACCAGUUGCUGGACUUUCUUGAAGUUCUCUGCCUUAACUGUGACUAUCACCGUUGGAUAGAGAUCUUCUGUCAUGAUAUCAGUGUGCAUAUUCCUCAUCAUAUCUCUCCUAAAAUUCUAAGUCACGCACACAAUCAAAAUAUCUACAACUAUGGCGAAACCAAGAAACAAAAGCAGAUCCACAGUCACUUUAAUCUGGUCUUCUCAUCUGUGCUUUUCGGAGUUACAAGAGACUAGGUGGACAAUCUAAGGGAACUAAAUUAACAUGGAUUCCAGCACAUUGUGCUCAACAACCGGGAUCACUAGAUUGUGGCUACUACGUCAUGCGUUUUAUGUACGACAU